GGGGCUUGUUGUUUGGGCCAUCAGGCUGUAUACAGUGAAACUGCGAAUGGCUCAUUAAAUCAGUUAUCGUUUAUUUGAUAGUACCUUACUACUUGGAUAACCGUGGUAAUUCUAGAGCUAAUACAUGCUAAAAAUCCCGACCUCCGGAAGGGAUGUAUUUAUUAGAUAAAAAACCAAUGCCUUCGGGCUCCUUGGUGAUUCAUAAUAACUUAACGAAUCGCAUGGCCUUGCGCCGGCGAUGGUUCAUUCAAAUUUCUGCCCUAUCAACUUUCGAUGGUAGGAUAGUGGCCUACCAUGGUUUCAACGGGUAACGGGGAAUUAGGGUUCGAUUCCGGAGAGGGAGCCUGAGAAACGGCUACCACAUCCAAGGAAGGCAGCAGGCGCGCAAAUUACCCAAUCCCAAUUCGGGGAGGUAGUGACAAUAAAUACUGAUACAGGGCUCUUUUGGGUCUUGUAAUUGGAAUGAGUACAAUUUAAAUCCCUUAACGAGGAACAAUUGGAGGGCAAGUCUGGCCCCC
rnacentral:rRNA from 1 species